GACGAACGCUGGCGGCGUGCUUAACACAUGCAAGUCGAACGGAAAGGCCCUGCUUUUGUGGGGUGCUCGAGUGGCGAACGGGUGAGUAACACGUGAGUAACCUGCCCUUGACUUUGGGAUAACUUCAGGAAACUGGGGCUAAUACCGGAUAGGAGCUCCUGCUGCAUGGUGGGGGUUGGAAAGUUUCGGCGGUUGGGGAUGGACUCGCGGCUUAUCAGCUUGUUGGUGGGGUAGUGGCUUACCAAGGCUUUGACGGGUAGCCGGCCUGAGAGGGUGACCGGCCACAUGGGGACUGAGAUACGGCCCAGACUCCAACGGGAGGCAGCGGUGGGGAAUAUUGCACAAUGGGCGGAAGCCUGAUGCAGCAACGCCGCGUGCGGGAUGACGGCCUUCGGGUGGAAAACCGCUUUCGCCUGUAACGAAGCGUUAGUGACGGUAAUGAGUAAAGAAGCACCGGCUAACUACGUG
rnacentral:rRNA from 1 species